rnacentral:rRNA from 1 species
UACGUAGGCAGCGAGCGUUGUUCGGAGUUACUGGGCGUAAAGGGUGCGUAGGCGGUUGUUUAAGUUUGGUGUGAAAUCUCCCGGCUCAACUGGGAGGGUGCGCCGAAUACUGAAUGACUAGAGUGCGGGAGAGGAUAGUGGAAUUCCCGGUGUAGCGGUGAAAUGCGUAGAUAUCAGGAGGAACACCGGUGGUGUAGACGGCUAUCUGGACCGUAACUGACGCUGAGGCACGAAAGCGUGGGUAGCAAACAGG